rnacentral:tRNA from 1 species
CCAUUUGGAUGCGACGGUGGUGCUGUCGCGGGAUAUCGCCUCGCUCGGCAUCUACCCCGCGGUGGACCCGCUCGAUUCGACUUCGCGCCAGGUGGACC